UACGAAGGGGGCUAGCGUUGCUCGGAAUCACUGGGCGUAAAGGGUGCGUAGGCGGGUCUUUAAGUCAGGGGUGAAAUCCUGGAGCUCAACUCCAGAACUGCCUUUGAUACUGAAGAUCUUGAGUUCGGGAGAGGUGAGUGGAACUGCGAGUGUAGAGGUGAAAUUCGUAGAUAUUCGCAAGAACACCAGUGGCGAAGGCGGCCUGCUGGGCUGUUGCUGACGCUGAGGCGCGACAGCGUGGGGAGCAAACAGG
rnacentral:rRNA from 1 species